CCUACGGGAGGCUGCAGUGGGGAAUAUUGCACAAUGGGCGCAAGCCUGAUGCAGCCAUGCCGCGUGUGUGAAGAAGGCCUUCGGGUUGUAAAGCACUUUCAGCGGGGAGGAAGGCGGUGAGGUUAAUAACCUCAUCGAUUGACGUUACCCGCAGAAGAAGCACCGGCUAACUCCGUGCCAGCAGCCGCGGUAAUACGGAGGGUGCAAGCGUUAAUCGGAAUUACUGGGCGUAAAGCGCACGCAGGCGGUCUGUCAAGUCGGAUGUGAAAUCCCCGGGCUCAACCUGGGAACUGCAUUCGAAACUGGCAGGCUAGAGUCUUGUAGAGGGGGGGAGAAUUCCAGGUGUAGCGGUGAAAUGCGUAGAGAUCUGGAGGAAUACCGGUGGCGAAGGCGGCCCCCUGGACAAAGACUGACGCUCAGGUGCGAAAGCGUGGGGAGCAAACAGGAUUAGAUACCCUGUAGUC
rnacentral:rRNA from 1 species